CAUAUUUGACGGAAGCAUCGAACCAAGAGAUGUAAAGUUAUCAGCUCUAGAGAGCAUCACUGAAAAUUUCUCCGAAGAGCGAAUAGUUGGCCAUGGCGGAUUUGGAACCGUUUACAAGGGUGUCCUAAAAAAUGGAGAAGUUGCUGUGAAGAGGCUAAGGAACAACCAUACAAUAGAUGAGAAGCUAUUUCGCCGGGAGGUUAAUAGUCUAUUGAAUGUAAACCAUACGAAUAUUGUUCGGUUUCUUGGAUUCUGUUCUAAUACAGAACAUAAAGCAAUCAAAUGUGAAGGAUCAAACGAAUACAUCUAUGCCGAGGAUAGAGAAAGAAUACUCUGUUUUGAGUACAUCAACCACGGAAGUCUCGACAAGUAUAUUGCAGAUGAAUUAAGAGGGCUUCAGUGGGACACUCGUUAUCUCAUAAUAAAAGGGAUAUGCGAUGGUCUGCAGUAUCUUCAUAUGGA